rnacentral:tmRNA from 1 species
GGGGGUGACAAAGUUUCGACACACCUAAUAAAAUAAUAAAUUUUGCCCGAUAUGAUUCCGUCGUUUUAAGCAGUAUUUAUAAAAAUUGUUUAAAUGGGUCAAAAAAAGAAAUGCAAAUGAUAACAAAAAGCAUUCUACAGACGUUGGUCUCCAAGGGUUUGCAUUAGCAGCUUAAAGGAAUUAACGUACUGAGCGGUAGUAGGGCUUACCGGGCAACAGAAAAGCCCUAAU